rnacentral:lncRNA from 1 species
GGCCGAGGUCUGCAGCGACUUCCUCAAAGGCUACUGCCCCCUGGGUGCAAAGUGCAAGAAGAAACACACGCUGCUGUGCCCCGACUUUGCCCGCAGGGGGGCGUGUCCCCGCGGCGCCCAGUGCCAGCUGCUCCACCGUACCCAGAAACGCCACAGUCGGCGGGCAGCCACGUCCCCCGCCCCAGGGCCCAGCGACGCAACCGCCAGGAGCAGGGUCUCGGCCAGCCACGGGCCCAGGAAGCCUUCAGCAUCCCAGCGCCCCACCAGGCAGACGCCCAGCUCGGCUGCCCUCACUGCGGCUGCCGUGGCUGCACCUCCCCACUGCCCAGGGGGGUCAGCCUCUCCCUCAUCCUCGAAGGCUUCCUCCUCCUCCUCCUCCUCCUCAUCCCCUCCCGCUUCCUUGGACCACGAGGCACCAUCUCUCCAGGAGGCUGCCUUAGCAGCAGCGUGCUCCAACAGGCUCUGCAAGCUGCCUUCCUUCAUCUCCCUGCAGUCCUCGCCGAGCCCAGGAGCCCAGCCCAGGGUCCGGGCCCCUAGGGCCCCCCUCACCAAGGACUCAGGGAAGCCUCUGCACAUCAAACCACGUCUGUGAGGACCCCAGGGACCGGCCUGCACCUACCUCAGACCCUCAUCCUUGGAGAGGAAAGAGGCUCUGUCCACCACUCUACCCCACAGGAGGGCCGCCCGCCACCAAGCCUCACCUGGGGGCCACAGGGACACUGCUCUGCCUGCCUGGCCCUCAACCUUCCAUGACCAGCGUGUGCGCAGGGCCUGGUCUUCCUCCCCCAAGCCAGGCCCCUGUCCCCACCCCACCACCUUCCAGGGUGCCAGGCAGGGCUGGCCUCCAGGCCUGUCCCCGACUGCCAUUGGCAACAGUGGCCCUGCAGCCCCCAGCCCUCCCCACCCAGGUUUUCGGCCCAGUGAAGAGGCCACUGGCCAGGCCUCCCAGGCAGGUGUUUUAUGUUCAGCAAUAAAG